rnacentral:rRNA from 1 species
CUGGUUGAUCCUGCCAGAGGUCACUGCUAUCGGGGUUCGAUUAAGCCAUGCGAGUUGAGAGGGUUAAGACCCUCGGCGGACUGCUCAGUAACACGUGGAUAACCUGCCCUAAGGUGGAGGAUAACCCCGGGAAACUGGGGAUAAUACUCCAUAGGUUAAAGGUACUGGAAUGUUCUUUAACCGAAAGUUCUGGCGCCUUAGGAUGGAUCUGCGGCCGAUUAGGUUGUUGUUGGGGUAGUGGCCCAACAAGCCUGUAAUCGGUACGGGUUGUGGGAGCAAGAGCCCGGAGAUGGAAUCUGAGACACGAUUCCAGGCCCUACGGGGCGCAGCAGGCGCGAAAACUUUACAAUGCAGGAAACUGUGAUAAGGGAACCCCGAGUGCCCGUAUAUGCGGGCUGUCCGGAUGUUUAAAACGCAUCCGAAGAAAGGGCCGGGCAAGACCGGUGCCAGCCGCCGCGGUAAUACCGGCGGCUCGAGUGGUGGUCACUUUUAUUGGGCUUAACGCGUUCGUAGCUUGAAUAAUAAGUCUCUUGGGAAAUCUGCAGGCUUAACCUGCAGGCGUUUAAGAGAAACUGUUGUUCUAGGAACCGGAAGAGGUGAGAGGUACUCCGGGGGUAGGAGUGAAAUCCUGUAAUCCCCGGGGGACCACCGAUGGCGAAGGCAUCUCACCAGGACGGCUUCGACAGUGAGGAACGAAAGCUGGGGGAGCGAACCGGAUUAGAUACCCGGGUAGUCCCAGCCGUAAACGAUGUGCGUUAGGUGUGCCGGUGACCACGAGUCACUGGGGUGCCGAAGGGAAACCGUGAAACGUACCGCCUGGGAAGUACGGUCGCAAGGCUGAAACUUAAAGGAAUUGGCGGGGGAGCACCAC